CCUACGGGUGGCAGCAGUGAGGAAUAUUGGUCAAUGGGCGCGAGCCUGAACCAGCCAAGCAGCGUGAAGGAUGACUGCCCUACGGGUUGUAAACUUCUUUUAUAAAGGGAUAAAGUGAGGCACGUGUGCCUUUUUGUGUGUAUUUUAUGAAAAAGCAUCGGCUAACUCCGUGCCAGCAGCCGCGGUAAUACGGAGGAUCCGAGCGUUAUCCGGAUUUAUUGGGUUUAAAGGGUGCGUAGAUGGGCGGUUAAGUCAGUGGUAAAAGUUUGGGGCUCAACCCAGAAGAGCCGUUGAUACUGGCAGCCUUGAGUAGACGUGAGGUAGGCGGAAUGCGUGGUGUAGCGGUGAAAUGCUUAGAUAUCGCGAAGAACUCCGAUUGCGAAGGCAGCCUAC
rnacentral:rRNA from 1 species